GGUCUGCUGCGCGGUGCGUCAGGCAGCUAAUGUCCCUGGGGCGAUAUCUUUCCUCUUGGGAGCUGUCCCUGGCGGGGCCCUGGCCCCGUUAUAUGGCGCCCACCUGCUAAGCAGGCCACGGAGGACUUACAACGCCAACGGCCGAGGCGGCGCCGCU
rfam:Magnetospirillum sp. 64-120 scnpilot_p_inoc_scaffold_16, whole genome shotgun sequence.